rnacentral:misc_RNA from 1 species
UCUGCUCUUGCAAUUUCUUGUGAUCAAGUUCAAGGUCUUCAAAUUUUCUUGCAGUUUCCUCCAGCUUCUCUUUUGUGAGCGACAAUUCAUCCUUUAACUUCACGUUUUGAGAUUCAGUGUCUUUUAAUGAACCAGCAACUCUUUCCAAUUCAAGCUCAAGUUCUUUAGCCUUUUCUUCUGCUUCAAGAUAUUCUCUGCUAGAAGCUGAAAUAUUUGAACUGCGGUCCAUUACAGACACUUUGCCCUCUGCAUGAGAAGCUUCAGCUGCAGCAUCUGAACCAUCCUUUGAUUCCAAAGCUUCCUUCUCUACUUUUAUAAACUCUCCGUCAAAAGCAGACUCUUCGUGCUCCGUCUGACCUAUCUCGCCAUUGGACACCUUAAUAAGAUCUUCUUUGCCGCCCUCUAUCUUUUCUGAAACCUGUACCACUGGUACAUCUGUGGUUGCUGUCUCUGCUUCCAUGUCAAAAUAAUUUCACCUUGUGAAGUUGUUUAAGUAUCUGAGGGCGAGAGAGGAUUUUGAUUUGAUUUUUAGGUGCUUUGCUUUUUUGGAGUUAAGCUUUUGUUUGUGUUUUGAAGUUGGAAAAAGUGUGAAUCAAAGAGAGAGAGAUGAGCAGAAAUU